GUGUUUGCAGUGGAUAUGAGCAGGCAAGAGUGUUUGCUUUUAUACGUGGGAAUCACUUUUCCUGCCUGGGAGCCAAAAGAUAAAAUGAAAAUAAACAAGCAGAAAAUGAAUGGUAGCUACUGUGACUUGGUUAUGACAUUUGCUAAGCUACUACAAUAUAAAGUUACAAAUAAUGUGAUGGAAGCAAUGUGUCUGUGA
rnacentral:lncRNA from 1 species